GGGCGUGUGGCUCAGUUGGUAGAGCGUUCGCUUAGCAUGCUUCACUGUAUGCGAAAGGUCCUGGGUUCGAUUCCCAGCUCGUCCA
rfam:Chaetomium globosum CBS 148.51 scaffold_2 genomic scaffold, whole genome shotgun sequence.